AGCACUCAAAAUCUUCACUCUUAUUACUCUAACUAUGUAAGUUAGAGAUAGUUAUGCCUGCAGCAUAGACUUCUGUCAGAACUAAAUGAGAUCUAAUGCCUGACACAGUGUGGUAACUCAGCACCUGUGGGUGUCUGCAUCUCCCCCAGUGACAGACCCUCUUGAGUGAUCUUGUACAAGGAACGCUGAAGGAUGGGUGGGGCCUGAGCCAGCACGAGCACCAUUUUGGUAAAACACAGAGGAUUAUUGGACAAAAUGACAGAAUUUGAAAAUCAAGGAAAUUAAUAAAUACAAUCAUCAAGCAUAUCCCUCUCAUAGAGGACUUAGUUUUUGCCUCAUGGACCAGAAUCUUCUUCGUCCCCAGGGUAAGGAUGCUGUGGGUGAACUUGGUCAAGGGUUCACACAUUUGUAACCAACUUCUCAGUGUGUGCGGUGUGCUAGGUCUGAGGAAACUAAUAAAGAUAUGAAAAGCUUACAAAACAAAUGGUGGCCUUGAAAAGGAUCUCCAGGGCGGAGGAGAAUUUGGAGAAUGGGAACCCCUCUACAUUGGCAAUUGAGCUGCUUUAGAAAACUGUUUGGCCAUAUGUAGCAGAGCUGGAAGUGUUUCUAAUCUGUGACCUACCACUUCUCCUCUUAGCUGUAGCCUAGAGCAGUGGUUCUCAAAGUGUGGACCCUAGACCAUCAAAGCUACCACCAUCCAGGAACUGGUUACAAAUUUUUGAAUCUCAUCUUGGACUGAAUCAGAAAUUCUGGAGGUGGGUCUCAGAAAUCUUUGUUUCAAAAAAGCUUCCAGGUGAUAGAGUCUCAAGUUUGAGAACUACUGGCAUGAAGAAACUCUGGCACCAAGGCACUAAGGAUGUGGAUGACCAAAUGGUGGGAUUGUCCAAAAGUUGCCUAAAUGUCCAUCACCAGAGUCCCCUGGCUGGCUCAGUCGGUAGAGCGUGGCACUCUUGAUCCUAGGGUGUGAGUAUGAGCCCCACGUUGGGUGUAGAGAUUACUUAAAAAUAAAAUCUAAAAAAAUGCCCAUCACCAUUGAAUCAUUAUGGGUGCAUUCCUCCAAAAUCAUUCUAGUUAGUCAGCGCUGAAUAAGACUACACACAACCAUGGUUGUAUCUCACAAACAUAAUGUGGUAGGAGAGGGGGAGAGAGAGAGAGAGAGAGAGAGGAGAGAGAGAGAGAGAGAGAGAGAGAGAGAGAGAAGCAAGUUGCAUAAGAAUACAGGCAAUAUGCCACCAUUUAUUCGAUAACUUUGAAAUUUGCCAAACCAGCUCUCUAUAUAUCUAUGUAGUUACAUAUUAUUUAGAGAUGAAUGCCUAUGUAAGGAAAUUAGGGGGAGAAUGAAAGGAUAUUUUUCUUGAGUGAUGGGUAUGUUGGUGUUCAUUAUAUUACUCUUUAUGUUUCCUUGACUUGCUGAAGUAUAUCGUCAGCAACUAGUGGUAAAAAGAGGCUUUCAUAAAAUACGUCUCUCGGUCUCUAGGGCAGCUUCUCAUCCCCCACCUUUGUUUGAACGUGAAAAUGCCCAACUACUUGGUAAGCAUCUUCUUAGCAGAAGAAUCUCUGGAAAAACAAUGCCUUGCUGCAUGAGCCAGUUCAGUGCUAUGUUGGAGCCAGAGGGUGGCUUAUCUGUUUUUUUUUUUUUUUUCUGGUUUCAUAUUUGUAGAUUCUUUAUAUAUUUCAAAGUAUUGUCUCACACAUUUCAUCCUGAAAAUAACCCAGAGAGUGAGUGUGUGGGUAUUAUUAUUACUCAGUUGACAGAUGAUGAAAAAAUCAAAUGAGCUACCAUUUAUUGAGCACUGUGCCAUCUGUGGAGCGAAGUGCUCUCCACACAUUUUCUCCUGGUUCUCCUGUGGCCAUCACAGUGACCCCAUUUGACAGAUGAAGAAACUGAGGGUUAGAAGCAGUCCAAGGAACGUGCUCACGUCCCAUAAAAGCAGAGUCAGAAGUCCCAGCCAGAGCUUUAUGAAGGUCAAGACGUUGCUUUAAGGACUGUGCUUUGUCGUCUUCAAACAAAGGUGUGGUUCUAUAACUUUCCUAAGGCUGAUUGGGUUUGGGCUCUACGUACUCUCUUAGGUCGAAAGGUGACAGCCACAGUGUUCUUUUUGUUUCAGCCUUCUGUAGAAGACAGGCAUCCUGACUGCAAGUAACAAAUUGAUGCUGGCUCAUUUAGGCAGACAACUUAGUGGGCAAAUAUCAAGGGGACCAAGGAAUAAAGAGGAAGCUUGGAGGGAAUAGAAGUGGACAUUAGAACUUUCUGGACAGCUGGGCAACAAAGCCACAACCCUGUCCUGAUCAGGAAGAGGGAAAAGCUAGUCUCUUCUGUGGUGGGAGACAGUCAUCCUGAAUAUAUAUAUAUAUAUAUAUAUAUAUAUAUAUAUAUAUAUAUAUAUAUAUAUACAUUUUUUCCCCAAGCCUAUCAAAUGGAAGAGGAUAGCUUCCGACCCUCUCCCCUGCCCUUGCCUCCCUACUCGAACCAGGAUGUUGUUAGGAAGUGGAAGAUGGAUGUUGGGGAGACAAUCCGCAGACGUGCAAACAGGAAGUUCAUAUCCCUAAGCAAGCAGUCAUAUUAAACAAGGAAA
rnacentral:lncRNA from 1 species